rnacentral:tRNA from 1 species
GGAGAGGCAAGCCGACAGCUGGCGACGGCACCCGAUUCGAACUCGGGCGAGACCACCAGUCCUUGGGAGUUCGACCCUCCCUCUCUCCGC